rnacentral:rRNA from 1 species
UACGGGGGGGGCAAGCGUUGUUCGGAAUUACUGGGCGUAAAGGGCGCGUAGGCGGCCCUCUAAGUCGAACGUGAAAUCCCUGGGCUCAACCCAGGAACUGCGUCCGAUACUGGCAGGCUUGAAUCCGGGAGAGGGAUGCGGAAUUCCAGGUGUAGCGGUGAAAUGCGUAGAUAUCUGGAGGAACACCGGUGGCGAAGGCGGCAUCCUGGACCGGCAUUGACGCUGAGGCGCGAAAGCCAGGGGAGCAAACGGG